rnacentral:rRNA from 1 species
GACGGAGGAUGCAAGCGUUAUCCGGAAUGAUUGGGCGUAAAGCGUCCGCAGGAGGCUAGGAAAGUCAGAUGUCAAAGCGUGAGGCUUAACCUCAUACAGGCAGUAGAAACUGUCCCGCUAGAGGGUGGUAGGGGUAGAGGGAAUUCCCAGUGUAGCGGUGAAAUGCGUAGAUAUUGGGAAGAACACCGGUGGCGAAGGCGCUCUACUGGGCCACACCUGACGCUGAGGGACGAAAGCGAGGGGAGCGAAAGGG